rnacentral:rRNA from 1 species
GACGAACGCUGGCGGCGUGCUUAACACAUGCAAGUCGAACGGAAAGGCCCUGCUUUUGUGGGGUGCUCGAGUGGCGAACGGGUGAGUAACACGUGAGUAACCUGCCCUUGACUUUGGGAUAACUUCAGGAAAAUGGGGCUAAUACCGGAUAGGAGCUGCUGCUGCAUGGGGGGGGAUGGAAAGUUUCGGCGGUUGGGGAUGGACUCGCGGCUUAUCAGCUUGUUGGUGGGGUAGUGGCUUACCAAGGCUUUGACGGGUAGCCGGCCUGAGAGGGUGACCGGCCACAUUGGGACUGAGGUACGGCCCAGACUCCUACGGGAGGCAGCAGUGGGGAAUAUUGCACAAUGGGCGGAAGCCUGAUGCAGAAACGCCGCGUGCGGGAUGACGGCCUUCGGGUUGUAAACCGCUUUCGCCUGUGACGAAGCGUGAGUGACGGUAAUGGGUAAAGAAGCACCGGCUAACUACGUG